CACGCAGGCGGCUAGGCAAGUCUGACGUGAAAGCUCCCGGCUAAACUGGGAGAGGUCGUUGGAAACUGCUUGGCUUGAGGUAAUGAGAGGGGUGCGGAAUUCCCGGUGUAGUGGUGGAAUGCGUAGAUAUCGGGAGGAACACCAGUGGCGAAAGCGGCACCCUAGCAUUGACCUGACGCUCAUGUGCGAAAGCGUGGGGAGCGGAACG
rnacentral:rRNA from 1 species